rnacentral:lncRNA from 10 species
ACCUGGUGUUGGUCCUUAGUGUGCUCCUUCUCUGGACUCCCAUGGGCAGCACAGCUCUUGCCCCAUGCGACAUGCCACAUGGCUGGUAUUCUGACUCAGCCAACCCCGGUGGCCCUGUGAACACAGUGACAGACACUGGGAAGCCAUUCACAAACCAGAAUGAAGCACUUGCUAAAGUCUCAGUUGGACUGAAACAAGGUCUGCACGUGGCUGGCAGGUGAAGCGAGGCAGAACCCCCAUCCCUGCUGUUAUUUACUUCAAUGUUUGUACCUGGGGUCUGAGGGGCCUUCAAGGAAAUACAUGUUUUCUGUCUACUGAUGGGGUUCAAAUAUGCACCCAGACAAGAUGUCUCUGACAGACCAGGAAGGAAGGGAGAAGGGGAGGCAACUCAAGGCAGUUUGCAGGGAGGAAAGGUAGGCACCUGAAAAAGACCAGACCCAGACCGUGAGGAAAAGACCCUGGAGUGUGGACCAGACUCAGUAACAGACCCUGAAAAGCUGAGGGAAGUCGAGGUUCUGACUCAAGCUGGUGGCAGAUAUUCGAGCACUCCCCACUCAAGACACCUGACGUGGGUGCACCAGUGAGAGAAAGGAUAGAGCGUGUGAGAUGAAAGGGCUGGUCUUAUUAAGCCCUACAAUACUCUGGGGUCCAAGCAAUCCUGCUGUGGGACCCUGCUAAGUGAACAUAAUGCCGAGGAAGAACAGCUCUCCUCUUUUUGCCAAAGCCUGCCAAGGUGUCAAGGCUUGAGAAAGAGUGGUGGGUGCCACAACAGAGAUCAGGUUCAGCCAUCAAGGCCAGCAACAGUGCAGCAGCUCAGCCCAGAAGACUGGGCUGACAUGCAGGCCUAUGUUAGACGUCUCUUGGGAACUCUUAGGCAUAUCUUUUGGUGAAAGGGUGCAGGGGAUGGAGGGGAAAGUUGGCAAACUUUUACAGAAUUGGUGGGGAUGUGAGUACCAAAUACAAUGGGACCUUGCUCACCUGCUGGUAAAGCUUGAGGAUCAUUUAGUUACACCGGAGUUCUGAAUAUUCUAGUCCCUUUUAAAGGAUGUCAUGAGAUGUCUGAUCUACCAGGACCAGCCCUGCUAUUCUGCUCUGUCCUAGUAAUCAGAGGUCUCUAACCUCUGAACCACCAAGAACUUGAGCUUCCAUGAUUACAGAGAAGGGCUCUUUCUCCCAUGUAGAGAACUAGGAAGUAGCUGGUGACCACUAUGUCCACAUGGGCUCCCUCACCCGAUCAUCAAGGUCCCCUGUGCUAUCCAUAGCCUUCCCUCACCCUGGCAAAGGUGAUGCAAAGCCUUUACUCUACACACCCAUCCAACCUGAGCCUUAUCAUCUAACAUACUCACAUGGGGUCUUAUUGUACUCUAUGCACCCCCAGUUCAAGAGGAUGACAAGCGAACCUUACUGUAAAUAUCUUUUCAUGUUUCUAAUCCUCCCACACAUGCCUCCGGUUUCCUCCCUGGCCCUCCAAGCUUACAGUCUGUUUCCUUCUGUGGUGAAGUUGGGCAAGUUCCGAUGCUUGGGGUGGAGAGCCAUGAAUCAUGAGUGAGAGGCUCUGGGAACACCAAGUCCACACUACUCUACUUACAAGUCCUAAACUGCCUAGUGGGAUCCAACGCUGACCCCAGUGGAGUUCUUUACCCAUGACUGGUGUCCUCAGGAAUGUGUCUGUGGGAAGAAAAGUCUCAAAUGCUGGGGAAUGGAGCCAUCGAUAAUUUCUUUCCUAUGUUGGAGUGCAAGAGAGCCCCUAAGGCUGGAGCACUCCCCAAGUAAGCAGGCAGAGACAGAGACCUGAGUCCUACUGCUGAGUCAUUUAAAUCUGCUUUAGAUCGGGUUUUCCCAGGGCAUGGAAAGGACAGGGCUCCCAGUGGAGAUAUCAUGUAGCUAUAGGGCCUAGAAGUAUUUUUUCAGUAGAUGAAAUUUAGAAAUAAUUUGAAUAUUUUAUGCUGGGGAGGUAGCUUGUGGAGUGAAAUGGUCGGGUAAAGGAAACACUGAGUUCAAGUGCUUCUUUAUAAAGGACACUUAACUGAUCUAAAUAUUUGUCAAGCUGAAUCGCUACAUCCACUCUCACCUGCCUGAAAUCAAUAUGCUCAAGUCAAACGCAUUUGCCUGCAUCUGAAUGUGGAGAAUGAACUUCUUAAAGCUGAACUGGCAGCUGGAAGGGGAGAGAGAAGAGCUGGACAGGGAGCCAGGACACCGGAGUUCUUUUCCACUGUGGUGGGAUCUGGAAGAAGCUGUUGAAUCUCUGUAGAGUUAGCUUUUAAAUGCUGUGAGUCUUUGGAAAGCUGUGCGAAUAACUGCUAAACACCCAGGACAGCUUAUGCAUUUUUUGAAAAAGGUUCCUGGUGCUGGUUCCAGCAGAAUAGACACAGAGAUGCAUGGCCUAACUCCCACUCCCUCUUCAGGACUGAGCCACGCAGCCCCCCAUCUGCCAGAAGUGUUAGCUGUUGACGGCUCACAGCUGAGUCCCUCUCCAGGCAUUGCUGAAAAGAGCCACCUUGCUCUAGGAUGUGCCCCCACCCUGGGGGCAGCAUACAUUCCAAGUGAUUAGUCCAUAGUGUGGUACAAAGGUUGUACCCAUCUUGCCUGAAUUCAGGAUCUCUUGGAAAACCACCCCAGCUCUGCAGCUCCUGGUGGGGUGCUGAGGCCUCUGCUGCAGCUGCAUCGCAGUUUACUUUCCCCUCUGCCUAGUCCUGCUGCCUUCACUCCCCAACAGAUCACCCGCUCUGAACAUGCCAUCUACUGUGGAAAUCUUCAAUCUUUAAUUAAUUUUUCCUGUUACAGGAAGAUUAAGUCUAAAAGGGUAUCUCCCCUAGUUGAUCCAGAACUAAAUAACAUUGUUUUCAGUACUUCCAGUAACUUGCUUACACUCUUACUUCUAAAGCAUUGAAUGUAUCAUCUUAUGUGCUUGUCACCCCCAGCUUGUGUCAUAGGAGAAAGUAUACGGAGAUCAGGUACAACUUCAGUUCAACAGCUUAUGAGCUAUUGGAUCAGUCUCCUUAUUAAUCUCUCAGAGCCUCAAUUUCCUUGUUUAAAAUGGGGGCAAUACCUACCUUAAGGAAUUUCUUGAGGAUCAAAAGAAACCCUAGUAACAAAGCCUUGAACCAUGUCUGACUUAUAGUAUAUAUUCUAACUGCAAGUUCUUUUCAUGUCUUGUCCAUGAAUUCUUCAUUCAUUCAUUCAUUCAUUCAUCCAACAACCAAGCAUUCACUGAUGCUCCAAUUGUGCAAGACACUGUUUUAGGCCUUGAGAAUACAAACUGCACAAGCAGGACAAUGUAACCAGUGUUAUGCAGGGUCUGGUCUAGUGGGAGGAGAAGACAGUGACCAUGGCCCAUGAUGAGUGACAGAAUGAAAAGUAAUCAGGAAGAUAUGAUAGGAAAUACAGGGAGAAUGGGAGAGUCUGCUUUAUGUUGCAUAAUCAGAGGGCAGCUCUGGACAGGCAAAAUUUGAGCUGAGACCUAAAUGACAAGGAGUGAAGCCAAUGGAACAUCUGAAAGAAUAGUUUUCUAGAAAGAGAGCCCAGCUAGUGUGAGCCCUAAAGUAGGUAGAAAAUGGGCUUGGAGGGUUUUAUAUGAGGAGCAGCGGGAAGUAGGCAGAGGCCUGGUCAUUGUAGGUCAUGUUGGCUAGAGUAAAGAGCUUGUGUUUGAUUCUCAGGGCAAUGAAGAGCCUUUGGAGAAUUUAAAGCAAAGUGGGGAGGGGGAACAAGAGCUGAUUUACAUUAUUCUGAACAGCACCAGGAGGGAUAGUACUGGAUAAUAAGAGUGGUAAAAGGAGACCAUUUAGGAGGUUAUAGCAAUUGUCCAGGGUGGCCUGGCCUGCCACGGUAGCCACAGAGACGGUGAGAGGUGAGGAGGUGCCAGGUACCGUCAUGGGAGACAUAAUGACAUUCGAUCAAUGCUGAACUACAUAUAUGACGGUGGUACCAUGAGAUUAUAAUGGAGCUGAAAAAUUCCCAUCACCUAGUGACCUCGUAGCUGCUGGAACAUUGCAGGGCAAUGCAUACACACAUGUAUGUGGUGAUAGUGGUGCACACAAACCUACUAUGCUGCCAGUCCUAUAAAAGUGUAGCACACAGGAUUAUGUACAGUACAUAACACUUGAUAAUGAUAACAAAUGACUAGGUUACUGGUUUAUGCAUUUACCAUACUAUACUUUUAUCGUUAUUUUAGAGAGUACUCCCUCUACUUAUUUAAUAAAUAUAGUUAACUGUAAAACAGCCUCAGGCAGGUCGUUCAGGAGGUAUUCUAAAGAAGGCAUUACUAUCACAGGAGAUGACAACUCCAUGCGUGUUAUUGCCCCUGAAGACCUUUCAGUGGGAUACAGUGUGGAGGUGGAAGACAGUGAUACUGAUGAUCCUGACCCUGUGUAGACCUAUGCUAAUGUGUGCUUGUGUCUUAGUUUUUCACAAAAAAGGUUUAAAAAUAAAAAUACAAAAGAAUAAAAAAGGUUAUAGAAUAAGGAUAUAAAGAAAGAAAAUACUUUUGUACAGCUGUAUAAGUGUUUGUGUUUUAAAUUAAGUGUUAUUACAAAGGAGCAAUAGAGUUUUCACAAAUUAAAAAGUUAAUAAAUGUUAAAAGUCACUGUAAGCAAGCUAAGGUUAAUUUAUUUUUGAAGAAAGAAAUUUUAAAAAUAAAUUUAGUAUAGCCUAAGGAUACAGUAUUUAUAAAAUCUACAGUAGUCUACAGUAAUGUUCUAGGCCCUCACCUUCACUCACCACUCACUCGCUGACUCACCCAGAGCAACUUCCUGUCCUGCAAGCUUCAUUCAUGGUAUCUUUUAAAGAAUCCCAGUGGACAAAAUCCUACUGGACCAGCCCAUGAGGUGCCCCCCGACUCCAGUCCAAUCGGGUAUGGCUACAUGCUGAGUCACAGGAACUAAAAAUGAACAGCCCCCGACCAUGCAGGGCCAGGCCCAGGACAGCUGCUGCGAGUGAUGCCUGCAAGUCCAGAAUGAAAGUGGGUUGUUCCCAUGGCAACAGAAUACAAGGCAGAGAACUCCAGAGAAGGGGGGCGGGUGCAUCUCUACACUCAAGGCCAUAGCUGCAAGAAAGCCCCAGGCUCCAGGAUGGUGGCAGCAAAGAGAUGCAACCUGCCAUGACAUCACACUGCCAGAUGGCCUGCUGUUGACAUAGGGUUCCCCCCCAACUAAUUAUUUGCAUAAAUCUGGAUCAUUCAUUCAAAGAAAAAUAAAGGAUUCACUCAAGUAUACAUUGACGUACUUAUUAGACAGUUUUUCUCUUUGAACAACUUAGUAUUACAAACAUUCCCCAAACACCAAGCACAUAGUUGCCUUACACAUGGAAGCUGUUUAAGAAGCAUGUAUUUCAC